rnacentral:rRNA from 1 species
UACAGAGGGUGCGAGCGUUAAUCGGAGUUACUGGGCGUAAAGGGCGCGUAGGCGGUUGUGUGUGUGUGAUGUGAAAGCCCCGGGCUUAACCUGGGAAGUGCAUCGCAAACUACACAACUUGAGUAGAUGAGAGGGUGGCGGAAUUUCCGGUGUAGCGGUGAAAUGCGUAGAGAUCGGAAGGAACGUCAAUGGCGAAGGCAGCCACCUGGCAUCAUACUGACGCUGAGGCGCGAAAGCGUGGGGAGCGAACAGG